rnacentral:rRNA from 1 species
AUUGAACGCUGGCGGCAGGCUUAACACAUGCAAGUCGAGCGGGGUGAUGGUGCUUGCACUAUCACUUAGCGGCGGACGGGUGAGUAAUGCUUAGGAAUCUGCCUAUUAGUGGGGGACAACAUCUCGAAAGGGAUGCUAAUACCGCAUACGUCCUACGGGAGAAAGCAGGGGAUCACUUGUGACCUUGCGCUAAUAGAUGAGCCUAAGUCGGAUUAGCUAGUUGGUGGGGUAAAGGCCUACCAAGGCGACGAUCUGUAGCGGGUCUGAGAGGAUGAUCCGCCACACGGGGACUGGGACACGGCCCAGACUCCUACGGGAGGCAGCAGUGGGGAAUAUUGGACAAUGGGGGGAACCCUGAUCCAGCCAUGCCGCGUGUGUGAAGAAGGCCUUAUGGUUGUAAAGCACCUUAAGCGAGGAGGAGGCUCUUUUGGUUAAUACCCAAGAUGAGUGGACGUUACUCGCAGAAUAAGCACCGGCUAACUCUGUGCCAGCAGCCGCAGUAACAC